AAAACUAGUUGUUAGUAGUGAAAUUAAAAAUAAAGGGUACUGUGUGACUGACGGAAACAAUUUGCCUUCUGAGAGAACGGUGUGCAAUAAAACCCAGCGGAAAAAGGCCCAAAUCCACAGACCAGGCGGCCCACGUGGACAAAUCUUCCCGACUGGACCUUCCCAUUUUCCCAGAUUCCCCUGAGCCAGAAAUCUACCCUGCUUGUUCUCCAUUGGAGGCAAAUGCAGAAGAGGGGUCUUCGACAUUACAAGGGAGAGUCCAAUGCUAUACCUCGAGACCAGUGUCGGUCAGUAGUUUGUCCAGCGGUAGUAUUCGACGCCAUUGUGGAAGACGCCAUCUUGUUCCGGACCACUAAAGAAAUCCCGAGAAUUCCCACCUGGCGAAACGGAUAAUCGAAUCAGCUUUCCAUCCAUUCGACUUUCCGGGCGGCAAGCCGAGCCAGAGGUUCCUCAUCAAUACCUAAAGGAACAACCCAUUGCUUCGACCUGGCACGAUCUGACACGCCAGUAGGGCGGGCGAUAUCGACGUUCGCCAAUACCAUUCAGUGGUUCCCCAGC